GGACACCCUCCCUGAACAAGAGACAGGUGAUUCUGGGACCCAGUUGAUCUUGAGGGGAAAGGGGGGGAAUAUUCUCCAUUAACCCCUCAGAGCAAGUCAGUCUCCCAAGCAUGGCUCCCAAACACUUAAAACUAGCAGUGAUGUGACUGCUCUUCUAACACAGGGUAAUGGACACAUGAAGCCUGGAGUGGGUGGGGCGUAUCAAACACUUGAACUUUGUUAGACCUGUGUUUCUGUCUUUAACCCAGUCCUUGUAAUUGCUACCAAGUAGAUCAGUAACUCUGGUUUAAGCAGAUUGACCUUUAUGUACCUUAUACAGCUUGCCCCUGUAACUUACCUGUGUUUUCCAGCUUUCUUUCCCAUUCUGGAAAAACACCCACCUUUCUUAUGGAACUUAACAGUAGCAGGCUGACAGUCUGAACAAACCUACCUGAGGUCUUUCCAGGUCAGCGUGACUAACGUCACGGCUUAUGUUAGGCAUAGCGGAUUGGCUUCAAAGCUCGUGUUGUGUAAAAACACUGCAAUAAAAGAAAGUUGAAUCCACACUGGC
rnacentral:lncRNA from 1 species